UUCUUUUGUCCCCCAUAAUGAGGGUUGGUGGAUAAAAGCUUCCUUUCCCCAGUAAUGUCCGCCUUAAUCUUGUUCUGUCUCUUUGUGUGCAUUAUAAGGCA